GUUAGGGACAGUGUCCAGUUCUCCUCAUGGGGUUUAUCGGUUGGAUGGGUUAGGGUUAGGUUAGGGACAGGGUCCAGCUCUCCUCCGCUUGCUGCUUGUACUUCAUGGGCUUCCGUUGUUGAAAGUGUAAACAGUGGCGCAUGCACUCUGUUGUUUUCAAAUAUCUCUCUUUCAAGGGACCUGAUGAUGAGUGAUAUGCGUCAGUCGUUGCUGCGUCGUGAUGCCCUGAGCGCCGCUAAAGAGGUGCUGUACCAUCUGGAUAUCUACCUGUCUGGGCAGGUACAGAAUAGCCCCUCCCCCUCGGUGGACACGCCCACUCUGGAACUGGUGGAGGAGUUUAUACUGCACAGGAGGAUGAGUGCGUUACAGGAGCUGCAGCUGUUGGAGAUCAUGUGCAGCUGUUUCCAGGAACAGAGUCGAGACGCUGUGAGACAACUCAUCUUCUCUGCCCUGUUCACUCUACAAGGUAACCAGGCUGACGAGAGUCGCAUGGCGUUGCUAGGCAAGCUAGUCUCCAUGGCGAUCGCUGUGGGCAGGGUCCCCAUCCUGCAGUGUGCUGCUACCUGGUUACAGCGGUCCCAUCCUGUCUACUGUAUCAGACUAGCCAGAGUGCUGGUGGAUGACUACUGUUCCCUGCUUCCUGGUUCCAUGGUUCCAACCCUCAACAACAUCAGCUGUUCCUCUCCUCCAUUCUGCUGCCAGUUCAUCACUGCUGUUACCACCCUGUAUGACCUCUCUACAGAGGAGUUGACUCCCCCUGUACAGCUGUUGCAGAUGGUGGUGUCGUGGAUCCAAGACCAGCCUCGAUUGGUCCUCAUCACUCUGCUGAACACGCCCCUCCUCCAGCCAGCCAAUUGGCUCCAUGGACCUCACGCCGCUGGCUGGGUUGGUGCGCUGGUGUGUCAAAGCCCCAUUGGCUUACAGGAGAGACGGGAAGCAGGGCCUGGCUAAUGGGACGACAGAGACGGAGCUGGAGGCAGGGCCUCUCUUCUCUGAGCUGCAUCUCAGUGUUCUGCAGGUUUGUUCA